GAUGAACGCUAGCGGCAGGCCUAAUACAUGCAAGUCGAACGGUGUCUUCGGACAUAGUGGCGCACGGGUGCGUAACACGUAUGCAACCUACCUUACAUUGGGGGAUAGCCUUUCGAAAGGGAGAUUAAUACCGCAUAAGACAGUAGCUGGGCAUCCAGCAGCUGUUAAAGAUUUAUCGAUGUAAGCUGGGCAUGCGUCCAAUUAGCUAGUUGGUGAGGUAACGGCUCACCAAGGCGACGAUCCCUAGCUGGUUUGAGAGGAUGAUCAGCCACACUGGAACUGAGACACGGUCCAGACUCCUACGGGAGGCAGCAGUGGGGAAUAUUGGACAAUGGGCGCAAGCCUGAUCCAGCCAUGCCGCGUGUGUGAAGAAGGCCUUCGGGUUGAAAAGCACUUUCAGUAGGGAGGAAGCGUUGUGUGUUAAUAGUACACAGCGUUGACGUUACCUACAGAAGAAGCACCGGCUAACUCUGUGCCAGCCGCCGCCGUAAAAC
rnacentral:rRNA from 1 species